UGAAUACGAGAUGCUACGGCGUCGAAGCAGUGUAUGUCAGACUUCCAAGAAAAGCUCGCAAUGUCAUAAAUAAAGAAUGCCUGUACCAUAACCGACACAGGUGGGUAGGUAGAGUAUACUAAGGGGCGCGAGAUAACUCUCUCUAAGGAACUCGGCAAAAUAACUCCGUAACUUCGGGAGAAGGAGUGCCUUCUUUAAGAAGGUUGCAAUAACAAGAUCCAAGCAACUGUUUAUCAAAAACACAGGUCUCCGCUAAGUCGUAAGACGAUGUAUGGGGGCUGACGCCUGCCCAGUGCCAGAAGGUUAAAGAAGUUGGUUAGCUUUUGCGAAGCUGAUGACUGAAGCCCUGGUGAACGGCGGCCGUAACUAUAACGGUCCUAAGGACGCGAAAUUCCUUGUCGGGUAAGUUCCGACCCGCACGAAAGGCGUAAUGAUUUGGAUACUGUCUUGGAGAGGGACUCGGUGAAAUAGACUUGUCUGUGAAGAUGCGGACUACCUGCACCAGGACAGAAAGACCCUAUGAAGCUUUACUGUAACUUGAAAUUGAAAUUGGACUUUAUUUGCGCAGUAUAGGUGGAAGGCGUUGAAAGUAAUCUUGCGGGAUUAGUGGAGCCAUCAGUGAGAUACCACUCCUAUAAUGUUAGAUUUCUAACUUUGGAUCAUGAUCUGGUCAAAGAACAGUUUCAGGCGGGCAGUUUGACUGGGGCGGUCGCCUCCCAAAUGGUAACGGAGGCGUACAAAGGUUUCCUCUGAACGGGUAGAAAUUGUAUCUAGAGUGUAAAGGCAUAAGGAAGCUUGACUGUGAGACCUACAAGUCGAGCAGGGACGAAAGUCGGUCUUAGUGAUCUGACGGUGCUGAGUGGAAAGGCCGUCACUCAACGGAUAAAAGUUACUCUAGGGAUAACAGGCUGAUCUCCCCCAAGAGUUCACAUCGACGGGGAGGUUUGGCACCUCGAUGUCGGCUCAUCGCAUCCUGGGGCGGUAGUACGUCCCAAGGGUUGGGCUGUUCGCCCAUGAAAGCGGUACGCGAGCUGGGUCCAGAACGUCGUGAGACAGUUCGGUCCAUAUCCGGUGUAGGCGUUAGAAUAUUGAGAGGAGCCUUCUUUAGUACGAGAGGACCGAGAAGGACAUACCUCUGGUGUACCAGUUAUCGUGCCAACGGUAAACGCUGGGUAGCUAUGUAUGGAGAGGAUAACCGCUGAAAGCAUCUAAGUGGGAAGCCCACCUCAAGAUGAGUAUUCU
rnacentral:rRNA from 1 species